AUGGCCGGCCCGCGGUCGUCGCCGUCACCGCCGCCGCCGCAGGCGCGCUCCGCCGACGGAGGCGCCCACCUGUCCCUGUUCCUCGACACCGACCUCGGCACGCUCCUCGCCCUGAACGUCGCCGCGGACUCCACCAUCCGCCGCCUCAAGUCGCAAGUGGCCGUGGAGCACGCCGCCGCCUUCCCCGACCUCGGCCCCGUCGCCGUCAAGUCCUUUCAGGUGCUACGCAAGGGUGCAAUGUACCACCUCUCUGAUUCGAUGGCAUUGAGGAGUGCAUUUUCCAAAGUCAAAGCUGGGUGCUUUCUGCAUGUCAAGAUGGUAGCAGUUGCGACGGACUCACACUACUGCAGAGACGAGGAUAGAGGGAGAUCAAGUAGAGGUUGUCUUGGAGUUGAUAUGGACAAACGUCUUAUGGAGUUGCCUGCAACAAUAUCAGGCGGUGUAAAUCCUCAAAUGCUGGAAGGUAGUGAGGAGGCUGCAGCAUUGCUUAAUGUUCAUGCACAUGAUGCAGUGCCAAAUGAUGUGCAGCUGUCAUCCUCGUCACAUCCGAAUACGGUUACAAAGAAGGAUGCAGCAGUAAGCCUGGCUACUGAUGUACAAACAAAUUCUGUGGCAAAUGUCAGUAGAUUUUCAAAUCAAAGCAAUGUGGCCCUGGUUGGAGAAGAGUUACUCGCAAGAAAGGAAAACCUUCUGCAUAGUGUCGAAGACCAUGAUCUUGGUGUUGUUUCUGGUGACAAGCAAGUGGGGACAAGGGAGGGAACGGUGGGAGAGCUUCAUGCACUGGAUGAUCCCUCUCAGGAAAAGGAGCGCAAAAGGGCUAGAAGGACUGAUUCUGUUAACAUGUCAGCUGUAGAUCCUGUUAGAGAAACUAAUGAUUACAAAACCAGGGAUGUGAAUAGCUUGGAUAAGCCUUCAUUGGAAACAAACACUAAUUCUCUUGGGGUAAUUCCAAGCAAUUCUUUUCAGCAAGAAUCACAUGGAAAUGCACAAGAGGAUUCAAUCCAGCCUGAAAAUCCAAUCAUUCCUGGAAAGAAUAAGAAAAGGAAAAAACAUCAGUCAGUCGCUCCCAAAGAUGCCCAAGAAAUAACAAAACCAUCAGCUGGAACAGUGGAGGUACCAAAAGCGUUAGAUGGAGGCCUGCUUCAUGAAAACCAAGGGCAACAAGGUGAUGGUGUAGAUAAUGUUGAAAUGACUAGCAGAGACAAAGCAAUGGUCAGACCAUCUGACAUGCAUCUUCCAUCAUCACAACUCAAUAGUGGAAGCCAGUUGGGUACUGAUGCUCAGGCAACUACUGAUCUAGUUGCUGACAAAAGUAACAUUGGUAUUGUACAUGAAGGAUAUGGAAAUCCGGCAGUUGGAGAGACCAGUAAUUCCACUUCCAAAGUUGUAGCUGGUGAAGAAACAAUUGCAGAAGGAAUCAAUGAUGAAUAUCAUGAUGAAAGAGGAGUUGAGGUAAGCAACAUGGAGAAAGGAAGUAAAAGUGAGAAUGUCCUGGAUAUGGCAGAUACAGCCGGUAAUAUUUCUCAUGAGAAGAAUUGCCAGGAAUCAAAUAAGGUUAGUUCUGUUGGCCUAUCUUCCAUGGAUACUGCUGAAGCAAAAGACCAGUCUGGGUAUAGCGAGAAAGCAGCCAAAUCAGAUAUAGUGUCUACUCAGGGGGACAUCUUAAAUGACCCUUAUAAGUGGCACAUCACAAGUAAUGUGCAGCGAGGGGAUUGUAAUGUCAUAGAACAUUCAGAUGGUGAUGGAAAGCUGAAGAAGAAGAAAAGGCGCCACUCGGAGUCUUCAAAGGAUGGUCCUACUACUCAAGGUGUGACAAAACCAUCUGGAUCCAUUGCAAAUGCUCAGGUGGAGACUGUAAAUGAACCAAGCAAGGUGAAUCAAGGGGAUUCUACUGUAACAGAAAAUCCAACUGGUGAUGGGAAGCGUAAAAAGAAGAGAAAACUCCGCUUGGAGUCUUCAAAGGAUGAUCCUUUGACAAAAUCAUCUGGACCCACUACAGGUGGAAGCUCGACACAGCAUGCAAGUGACGAUCCCCUAAAUGCAGAGCAAACAACACAAGGCACUAUAGGAGAAGCAACGGGUAGUGCUUGCAGGAAGCUUGAUGGAACCGCGGAUGUAGCAGCAACCAAUGUGAUUAAUGAGGUAUUGGCAGAUUUAGGAUGCACAGACAACUUAAGUGGAGAUCCAGUAAAGGAACACACUGAAGGUGUUGUUAGUGCAGCCUUACCUCUGAAAUAUCCAGCAGAUAAUCAGUCUGAUGAUCUUAAUGAUGUUUUGACUGAGAAUACAGUAGUGCCAGCUGAUGGCAGAACCAAAUCCAGUAAGCGUCAGAGAAAGAAGACUUCAUUAAAGCAUGUGUCUACCGAUAGCAGUAAAGAUAUUCAGUCUUUGGGUGUGCAAGUCAGACAGGUUCCCACAGAGGACUUGGAAGGAGGAAAUGACACCAAAGAGGAAUUGCUUCUGGAAGGUUCUUCAGUUGACGCUCCUGCAAGUACUGGUCAAGUAUUACGGCAGAAAAGCAGAAAGUCUUUGAAGACUCAGACUCCUACAAUACAGGAAAUAAAUCAUCCUACAUAUGGACAAGAUAAUCAGUUCAUAAAGGAUGACCAGGAAAAAUAUGUAACUGAUGGUGGGCCUCGUAAUGACAAAAAUAUAGUAGGAGCUCCAACAGAAUCAUCAGUACUUCAUAAAGAUGGCACAAUUAUCAUGCAUGAUAAGCCUAAUGCUCGAAAGGGAAGGAAGAAAUCUUCCAAGACUGAACUUCAGAGUCAGGAUACUGCUUUGGAACAAGGUUCUGUUGCAGAUUUGAUGAACUCCAGGGCUCAGGAGGGAGCAGCUAUUCCUAAAGGUUCUGCUGGUGCUGUUGAACCAAAUGAUUCUGCAGCGAUUCGUUCUGAAAAUGGCAAAAUUAAUUUCUUGGACCAUUUUAGCCCCAGUGUGAUGAAUGGCCCAUCUGUUUCUGCAGAAAACAAUGAUGAAACUACUAUAAGGGAAGUUAAGGGAAAAAAGAAAAGCAAAAGAAAACCAGAUAUGCAGUCUCAACAUGCUGGUAUUAUUGAACCAAAUGAUCUGCCAGAAUCCCAUCUUCAUACAGAUAAAACUAGUGUAGCUGAUCAUUUUGAUACUGGCAAUGUGGGUGUGCCAUCUGUUUCAGCAGAAAACACGAACAGAGAAGAUGGUAAUGUGGAAAAGGCCAAGGAGAAAAAGAAGAGCAAAAGAAAGCAGGAUUUGGUCAAACCCGAGUCUGAAAACCCUAUUGGUAAUAAUGAAGACACUGAUAAUUGUUCACAAAAUUUGCUGCAUUCUGUUGUGCAGAAGGGAAGAAUAGAACAGGGCAAUGCAAAAGAGAACAGUGAUAAAAUCACCAAGGAUAAUAGUAUGCCGCAACAGGAGACUGAAGCAGAAAACAUUAACAGAGAAGAUGGUAAUGUGAGGAAAACCAAGGAGAAAAAGAAGAGCAAAAGAAAACAGGAUUUGGUCAAACCCGAGUGUCAAAAUCCUGAUGGUGGUAAUCAAGAUACUGACACUUCUGCACCGCAGAAAGGAAGAAUGGAUCAGGGCAAUGCAAAAGAGAAGAAGGAACAGGAAAAAGAAGAUGCCACACGUGAUAGCACUUUUGAAAAGAAGCCCCGCCAAAGCAAGGUUGGUGCUGACAAUCAGACUGAUUUGCCCACUGAGAAGGACCAUGCACGCAUGGGCAAAGAACAAAUGAACUCUACUUCUCAGACAAAGCAUCAUGGUAAGAAUAGAAAACAUGACGGGUCUAUUGAUGGGAGGGAAAAUGCAAAUCCUAAGGUUGUAAGCAAUGUUGUUCAGAGCAGUCCCAUCAGCCCACAAGCAUCAAAUGAAAGCACUUAUGGCACACCAGCUGUUAACCGAUUUAGAGUAGCAGUUCGGAAAGUUCCAAGAAAAAAAUUUGAACAGCUCAAUGACAAAUCCAAGAAGGAUACUAGUAAGAGAGGCGCUGGCGCAAUUUUCAGUGACACCAUAAGUGAAGACUCUGAUGAACUAUUGAACACCAUGGGUGAAAAGGUUGGCAAGGAAAACUCAUCAGAUGAUUCAUCCACAUCUGCUGACUCAGGAAUUUCAUCCACGGCCUGGGAGGGAAGCGACGUACCUGAUGAUGAAGGCAUUGCAUCGCUGUCACAGAGGAGUGACAUCAACUCCGUCCUCCGAGGCUCCAGUAGCUACAAGAAGGCGAGGCUGAAACCAACCGAGCUGCUGGAGGACACCGAGGUGCCUGAUAGCCAGCCUCCAGAUAGUCUUUGGGGCUGA
rnacentral:rRNA from 1 species